rnacentral:rRNA from 1 species
GGUAGCGAAAUUCCUUGUCGGGUAAGUUCCGACCCGCACGAAUGGCGUAACGAUCUGGGCACUGUCUCAACGAGGGACUCAGCGAAAUUGUAAUGGCGGUGAAGAUGCCGUCUACCCGCGACAAGACGGAAAGACCCCGUGCACCUUUACUACAACUUGACAUUGGAUUUUGGGAUAUUAUGUGCAGGAUAGGUGGGAGGCGAUGAACUGGUGGCGCUAGCAACCAGGGAGCCAUCCUUGAGAUACCACCCUUAGUGUUUUAGGGUUCUAACCUUACCCCGUGAAUCCGGGGCAGGGACAGUGUCUGGUGGGUAGUUUGACUGGGGCGGUUGCCUCCUAAAAUGUAACGGAGGCGCCCGAAGGUUCCCUCAGCACGGUUGGCAAUCGUGCGUAGAGUGUAAAGGCAUAAGGGAGCUUGACUGCGAGACCUACAAGUCGAGCAGGUGCGAAAGCAGGGCUUAAUGAUCCGGUGGUUCUGUGUGGAAGGGCCAUCGCUCAACGGACAAAAGGUACGCCGGGGAUAACAGGCUUAUUUUGCCCAAGAGUUCAUAUCGACGGCAAAGUUUGGCACCUCGAUGUCGGCUCGUCGCAUCCUGGGGCUGAAGCAGGUCCCAAGGGUUUGGCUGUUCGCCAAUUAAAGCGGUACGCGAGCUGGGUUUAGAACGUCGUGAGACAGUUCGGUCCCUAUCUGUCGUGGGUGUAGGAUAUUUGAGAGGAGCUGCCUCUAGUACGAGAGGACCGAGGUGGACGAACCUCUAGUGUACCAGUUAUCACGCCAGUGGUACUCGCUGGGUAGCUACGUUCGGAAGGGAUAACCGCUGAAAGCAUAUAAGCGGGAAGCCCCCCUCAAGAUUGGAUAUCCCACAGGGUAACACCUGUCUGAAGGCCCCUGGAAGACUACCAGGUAGAUAGGCUGGAGGUGGAAGCGCAGUAAUGUGUGUAGCUGACCAGUACUAAUCGGCCGUGAGGCUUGACCAU